GAGUUUGAUCUUGGCUCAGAUUGAACGCUGGCGGCAUGCCUUACACAUGCAAGUCGAGCGGCAGCGCGGGGCAACCCUGGCGGCGAGCGGCGAACGGUGAGUAAUGCAUCGGAACGUGUCCUCUUGUGGGGAGUAACCAGUCGAAAGACUGGCUAAUACCGCAUGAGCUCGUAAGAGGAAAGCAGGGGAUCCGCAAGGACCUUGCGCGAGAGGAGCGGCCGAUGCCGGAUUAGCUAGUUAGUGGGUAAAGGCCUACCAAGGCGACGAUCCGUAGCUGGUCUGAGAGGACGACCAGCCACACUGGGACUGAGACACGGCCCAGACUCCUACGGGAGGCAGCAGUGGGGAAUUUUGGACAAUGGGCGCAAGCCUGAUCCAGCCAUGCCGCGUGAGUGAAGAAGGCCUUCGGUUGU
rnacentral:rRNA from 1 species